AUUGAACGCUGGCGGCAGGCCUAACACAUGCAAGUCGAGCGAGCGGCGGACGGGUGAGUAAUGUCUGGGAAACUGCCUGAUGGAGGGGGAUAACUACUGGAAACGGUAGCUAAUACCGCAUACCAUCAGAUGUGCCCAGAUGGGAUUAGCUAGUAGGUGGGGUAACGGCUCACAUAGGCGACGAUCCCUAGCUGGUCUGAGAGGAAGAUCAGCCACAAUGGAACUGAGACACGGGCCAGACUCCUACGGGAGGCAGCAGUAGGGAAUAUUGCACAAUGGGCGCAAGCCUGAUGCAGCCACGCCGCGUGUGUGAAGAAGGCCUUCGGGUUGUAAAGCACUUUCAUCAGGGAGGCGUUACCCGCAGAAGAAGCACCGGCUAACUCCGUGCCAGCAGCCGCGGUAAUAC
rnacentral:rRNA from 1 species